rnacentral:rRNA from 1 species
GACGAACGCUGGCGGCGUGCUUAACACAUGCAAGUCGAACGCUGAAGACCUGGCUUUUGUUGGGCUGGAUGAGUGGCGAAAGGGUGAGUAACACGUGAGUAACCCGCCCUCUUCUUUGGGAUAACGCCCGGAGACGGGUGCUAGUACUGGAUAUUCACUGAUCUUCGCGUGGGGGUUGGUGGUAAGGGUUGUUCGGGGGGGGGUCGGGCUCGCGGCCUAUCGGCGUGUUGGUGGGGUGAUGGGCUAACAAGGCGUUGACGGGUGGCCGGGCUGAGAGGCUGACCGGUCACGGUGGCACUCAAAUACGGCCCAGACUCCUGCGGGAGGCAGCUGUGGGGAAUAUUGGUCAAUGGGCGUACGCCUGAUGCGGCGGCGUCGCGUGGGGGAUCGGGGUCGUCGGGUUGUAACCCUCGUUCGCUCAUGGUCAAGCCGCAAGUCUGGGCUGUAGUGAGGGUAGUGGGUAAAGAAGCGCCGGCUAACUACGUG